rnacentral:rRNA from 2 species
UAUAUGCACAUGGAACGAACCUCUGGUAUUAUUGGUGCUUGCAUCAUGUAUUACAUUUGCGAUGAGUGGCAACUGGUGAGGUAACACGUGGGAAACCUGCCAGAAGCGGGGGAUAACACCACUGGAAACAGAUGCUAAUACCGCAUAACAACUUGGACCGCAUGGUCCGAGCUUGAAAGACUUCGGCUAUCACUUUUGGAUGGUCCCGCGGCGUAUUAGCUAGAUGGUGAGGUAACGGUCACCAUGCAAUGAUACGUAGCCGACCUGAGAGGGUAAUCGGCCACAUUGGGACUGAGACACGGCCCAAACUCCUACGGGAGGAGCAGUAGGGAAUCUUCCCAAUGGACGAAAGUCUGAUGGAGCAACGCCGCGUGAGUGAAGAGGGUUUCGGCUCGUAAAAUCUGUUGUUAAAGAAGAACAUAUCUGAGAGUAACUGUUCAGGUAUUGACGGUAUUUAACCAGAAAGCCACGGCUAACUACGUGCCAGCAGCCGCGGUAAUACGUAGGUGGCAAGCGUUGUCCGGAUUUAUUGGGCGUAAAGCGAGCGCAGGCGGUUUUUUAAGUCUGAUUGUGAAAGCCUUCGGCUCAACCCGAAGAAGUUGCAUCGGAAACCUGGGAAACUUGAGU